UGGGGAAGUAUUGCACAAUGGGCGAAAGACCUGAUGCAGCGACGCCGCGUGAGUGAAGAAGUAUUUCGGUAUGUAAAGCUCUAUCAGCAGGGAAGAAAAUGACGGUACCUGACUAAGAAGCCCCGGCUAACUACGUGCCAGCAGCCGCGGUAAUACGUAGGGGGCAAGCGUUAUCCGGAUUUACUGGGUGUAAAGGGUGCGUAGGCGGCAAAGCAAGUCAGAUGUGAAAUGUAUGGGCUCAACCCAUGAACUGCAUUUGAAACUGCAUUGCUUGAGUGAAGUAGAGGCAGGCGGAAUUCCCUGUGUAGCGGUGAAAUGCGUAGA
rnacentral:rRNA from 1 species